CACUCACACCACACACUCCAAUCUUUCAAUCUCAAUGAACAAACAUUCAGGUUAAAUCGCAGCUCUCAAGGGGAAGAGCUUCUCCGGUGUGUCAUUAUCCAGGUUGCCAUGGCAACAUCGCACGCUAACACUUGUAUGUCGAAAUGAUUCAAAGGAACAUGAGAAGAAGAGAAAGAACACAGGCUUCUCUUCUUAACCUUGAUCACAAGGUUACAAAAACUUUACUUUUGUCACUGCAAGGAAUUAAGAACACUGAAAGUGAAGAAGGAGAACAGUUCCACAUAAAUCAAGCCAGUAGUGAAAAUGCUUUAUUUGCCACCGGGGAGCGUGUCUGUCCAUAAGAAGCAGCAUUUAAGCAGCUCACGUCUGUUCAUUAGCGCCGUUGCAAAGCCAAGAAGACCUAAAUCUGCCUACGCGCCGGUGCAAAGCAGUUUAGCGAGUGUGUGUCAUUGUGUUGGUUGUGUGAGAACGGCGCUGGGUUUUUACCGUCCUUCCUGCCGUAGAGCUCUCCAGGAGAUUUUACUGUCAGCUCAGGAGGAAAUAUGACAAGGAACGCCAUCGGAACGGCUUUACGACGGCACGAGAAGCAAUCAGCCGGCCCUUAACGAGCGACUCUCCAGUCUAACGCAUUGUGUUAAACCCUGCACGCCGAAUUAACGACUUCGUAUCUUGUCAGGGGCAGAACGAGUGUUCAGGGUUCCUCACUGGUUGUGGGGGGGUGUUGAGAGAAGGUCCUCAUCCACCACGAUGUAAAAUCAUCACACGCACCACCCUGCCUCAUACGGGACACUGGCGCUCCACCUGAGGCUCCAUUAGGCUCGGAUUAAAGCUCGCCGCCUGCUAAGUACCGUAUGAUCCGUGUGUGUGUGUGUGUGUGUGUGUGUGUGUGUGUGUGUCUCUGUGUUUGGCCUUUUCUUAACUGCACUCAGUCUCAUUCCCACUAAUGCAGGAGGAAAUCUGACGAGCUCCAAAGACCAGCUGGAUGAAAGAUGAAAACAUCUCAUGCAGAGACGGAAUGGAACGACUAGAAUCUUUUCGGAAAUGAUUCUUCUGAGACACAGUUGUGUGAGGUUCUAGGAAGCUGAGAACCCAUUACUAUCCAAAGAAGUUUUAAGGAACUAGAAGUUCAAGGUAUCUAUUUCAAUCGUGAGUUUUCUCCAGAGGAACACACUGAAGAACCGGUCAGGAUUAUACAUGAGAACAUGCCAUCUAAACAUCACACUGUGAAAGAACCAGCACUCAUCUGGACUAUCGUUUGUAUUUCAUGUCCAGCUAGGCGAACAAGACAUUGUGUCAUUCCACACCUUCAGACCUAAUCUCCAGUCUGAGAGAAGCUACGGCAGCGUCCUGCUGCACCUGUACCAACGUGGAGAGACGGCGUGAUGCUCGGGUUCCAGAUAUCGCCAAAAUAUUGUGAAUAAAAGAAACGGAUGAGUCAUCACCAGUACAUGAGAUGCUCGUCUAUUUUUGGAAUCAGUUUCCUCUUCGCGUUUGUCCAGUAGGAAAACAAUUAAAUCACCCGACACGUCGUCUUUAUUCCUGAAAAAAUCCUCGUAGAAUAAUGGGCUCUGAUGUGUUAUGAUGGCUUUCUGACAUCGACCUUUAAAUAUAAUCAGAGAUCUGCAGCUUUACUGUUACAUUAUGCAGUUUUGUUUGUUUAUUUGUUUGUUUACACCUGAAGGGGUGUAUCAGGUCAGAUGUAGUGUGGAUUAAAUAGACUUUAUUAUAUAAACAAACUGACACAAAUUAAUAAAUAAAUGU